rnacentral:rRNA from 1 species
UACAGAGGCGACGAGCGUUGUUCGGAUUUACUGGGCGUAAAGCGUGCGCAGGCGGCGGGACAUGUCCAAUGUGAAAUCCCGGGGCCCAGCCCCGGAAGUGCAUUGGAAACCGUCCUGCUGGAGGCCGGGAAGGGAGUCUGGAACACACGGUGUAGCGGUGAAAUGCGUUGAUAUCGUGUGGAACACCGGAAGCGAAGGCGAGACUCUGGAACGGCACUGACGCUCAUGCACGAAAGCGUGGGGAGCAAAC